AUAAUUCUUCUUCCAGUGUCACCCAGGGAAGCCAAAAGAUUGGACAGUCCUGUAUUAGAUGGUCACGUCAAUAAGGCACGUGCUGGCCCUCAGCUUUCCCUGUAUCAGUGGUUCUCAGCUGAGGGCAAUUUUGCAAUUGCCAAGGGACAUUGGCAAUAUCUGGACACUUUUGGGUGUUAGGACUGGAGAGGAAGGGCGGCAUGCUACUGGCAUCUAGUGGGUAGCGGCUAGGAGCACUGCUAGACAUCCUACAAUGCACAGGAAUGCGCCCCCCACCCCCAACACAGAAUUAUCUGUUCCCGAAUGUCAAUUAGUGCCAAGGUUAAAAAUCCCUGCUUACAGCCAUGAAAACGAAUCUCUUUCCUAUUCCCAAGCCAGGGUCGCAGUAUCCCAACCAAAUAUAAUAGCACUUUUCUUUUUUAAGCCAAAGCGCAGAGAGUUCCAGAGUGGGAUCUCUGUCACCUUUUCUUGCAGGACCAGCGCAAACAUUUAAGUCACAGACAAGCGGUCCCAGCCAGGCUUGGGAUCCCACGUGUGGCCGCUGGAGGGCAGCAGUGACUUCUCCCAGUUUGUGUCUGAGACUAGGGCAAGUUUCCAACCCACCAGCCUGUGGCCUGGGGCAGCCCGGGAGGAGCAGUUAGCCUUUAGAAGCAUGUAAAUAGGGUCAACAGAUGCUAAUGGAGCUAGGAGAAAACGGCUUUUCCUCAUUUAGUGUGCAAGGAAAUAUCAAAGAGGGGAACAUGUGAGCCCCAGGGCCUCACACAGCGCAGGAAUGAAGAGUCGGGAGGCAGAGUAGCUCCCUUCCAGCUUCUCUGGGCCAGCCUCCUUCCCCAGGUCACCCUGAUCCAGGGCCACGAGCCGGAAUGCAGCUCUCUGUCCACACUCCUCUCCCAGGAAUCCCGGCUAUGUGAAGCCCCGGCCCCGCAGCCCAUCCCAGUUUCCACUGCACCCAGCAACCACCUGGAACCAUGUCAGGACCUGAGUCCAAUCUGUGGCUGCCGAGCUCUGCUUGCUCGGAACCCAAGUGUUCUCCAUUCUCACCCCUCACUGUCUCUUCUCUGUCACAUGCAGGUGGACCCUCCCUCUCAGUGAGCACAGGGGAUGUGGAGGGAGACAGGCAGAGCCUGGGGAGGCAGGAGGUGAGAGGUUACUCCCCAGCUGCAUUUUCCAUCCCUGGCGCCUGGCUCACCAUAACUCCAAACUGCUACAGAGCAAGAAGAAUGAGAGGAUGAGACCCAUAGAAACCCCUUGAAAUGACAUUGCAUCUGCUGGGUCUGCAGGAAGAACCAGGUGCUCAGGACAACCCCCGUCUCUCAGGAUAGCAGCGGGAGCCCUAACUUCCAGACCUUGGACAGGAAAGUACCAGGAGCAUAUGGUUGGAGGAUCUUUUCAGCUGGAUAUUUAAGAUUGAGGGUGUGGACACCAGGCUGCCUCACCCUAGAGCUCCAGGCAUUCCUGAUGUCACUGACCCUUCUUGUCCCCUGGUACCUGUGCCAGCCCCAGCUCUAUUCUGAUGUCUCCCUGUCCUUUCCCCAGCUUCAGACACAUGUGUCUCCCACUUGCCUCUCUCACCCAUUCUGAAACCCUGGGAAGAUUUCAGUGUUCCUGUCUGCUUCUCAGCUUGCUUGUAGGGGUCAUCAACUCCUUCCCACCCUGACAGCUGUGUAAGCACCCUCCACUGGCUCAGGCCCGCCCUGGCCUGCUCUGGUAUUGGGUUUGGCAGGCAGCCGUCACACAGACAAAAAUAAAUUGU